CAGUCGCCGCGGUAAUACGGAGGGGGCCAGCGUUGUUCGGAAUUACUGGGCGUAAAGCGUGCGUAGGCGGUUCGUUAAGUCUGUUGUGAAAGCCCCGGGCUCAACCUGGGAAUGGCAAUGGAUACUGGCGAGCUAGAGUGUGUCAGAGGAUGGUGGAAUUCCCGGUGUAGCGGUGAAAUGCGUAGAGAUCGGGAGGAACAUCAGUGGCGAAGGCGGCCAUCUGGGACAACACUGACGCUGAGGCACGAAAGCGUGGGGAGCAAACAGGAUUAGAUACCCCCGUAGUCCCUGUCUCUUAUAA
rnacentral:rRNA from 1 species